rnacentral:rRNA from 1 species
UGGGGAAUAUUGCACAAUGGGCGCAAGCCUGAUGCAGCGACGCCGCGUGCGGGAUGGAGGGCCCUUCGGGUUGUUAAACCGCUUUUGUUUCAAGGGCAAGGCAGGCUUUCGGGCCUGUUGAGUGGAUUGUUGGAAUAAGCACCGGCUAACUACGUGCC